rnacentral:misc_RNA from 1 species
AAAAAAACUAAGCCUGUCCUCCGAUGUAUCUUUCACAGAUGACUGAUAUUUAUAUGUACAAGGAGAUUGCAACAUAAGAUGAGGAAGUUUAUAGAAAGGGAGUUCUAUUUCUCAUCAGAAAAUUGUGCUUGAACAUUGCAAUCAAUAUAACAUUACUGCUUUAUUGCUUAUGUGAUCGAUCAUGAAACGUUUCGAACAUUUUCUUUGAAAUAGA